UUUUAUUUGUGUCUUUGACUUUUAGAACAGGAAGCUCUUGGCUCCUCCGAAAGGGCUGUGACCCUCAACUACGACGCUCCUGUGUACACGAGCAACCCGCUAUCAGUUAAGCCCCCUCGCUUUUCAUCUCUUCUUUACGUUCGUCGGUUACCCUACAUCGACGAACCUCACAUAUAUGUGUCGCUGCUGAAGACCAUCUCUUGGAGACUGCAAGAAAAACGCCAUACUCAACAUGGACUUGGUCCAAGAGAGCAAUUCACUUUCAUAAUCACUGCACUAGAACCUCGCAGCUCUAAUUCCCCAACAUCUGGUGAACCCGCCCCUCUCUCAUUGAACGUCUUUCAGCCAGCUGAAAUGAAUCAGAUAUACUAAAUUACUGCAUAUACUAUACUAGUGAGGACUAGUGAGGACAGUCAGAACAUCAUUUUAUUUGCUCCAGUCAUCACUUGAUAGUUUCUUCCAGUAUCCUUCUGAACUUCCACAAUUACUACCUGUAGUCGUCUCCCUAACCAUUCUUUUAGUUCU
rnacentral:misc_RNA from 1 species